rnacentral:rRNA from 1 species
GACUACUGGGGUAUCUAAGCCUGUUCGCUCCCCACGCUUUCGAGCCUCAGCGUCAGUUACAGUCCAGAAAGUCGCCUUCGCCACUGGUGUUCCUCCUAAUAUCUACGCAUUUCACCGCUACACUAGGAAUUCCACUUUCCUCUCCUGCACUCAAGUUCGACAGUUCCAAAGGCUUACAAUAGUUAAGCUAUUGCCUUUCACCUCUGGCUUGUCAAACCGCCUACGCUCCCUUUACGCCCAGUGAUUCCGGAUAACGCUUGCCCCCUACGUAUUACCGCGGCUGCUGGCACGUAGUUAGCCGGGGCUUCCUCCAAAGGUACCGUCACUGUAUUCUUCCCUUUGGACAGAACUUUACGACCCGAAGGCCUUCAUCAUUCACGCGGCGUUGCUGCAUCAGGCUUGCGCCCAUUGUGCAAUAUUCCCCACUGCAGCCUCCCGUAGG